AUCCAUCUGGCGAGUCCCAUGUAGGACGAAACGUGCGUCCUGGAU
rnacentral:hammerhead_ribozyme from 1 species